rnacentral:misc_RNA from 1 species
AUGCGAUAAGUAGUGUGAAUUGCAGAAUUCAGUGAAUCAUCGAAUCUUUGAACGCACAUUGCGCCCCUUGGUAUUCCAUGGGGCAUGCCUGUUCGAGCGUCAUUUGUACCCUCAAGCUCUGCUUGGUGUUGGGCGUCUUGUCUUUUCCAUUUGUGAUUAGACUCGCCUUAAAGUAAUUGGCAGCCAGUGUUUUUGGUAGUAAGCGCAGCACAAUUUGCGUCUUGGUCCCUAAGCAGUGGCAUCCACAAAGCCUCUUUCUCACUUUUGACCUCGGAUCAGGUAGGGAUACCCGCUGAACUUAA